AACGAACGCUGGCGGCAUGCCUAACACAUGCAAGUCGAACGAUCCCUUCGGGGAUAGUGGCGCACGGGUGCGUAACGCGUGGGAACCUGCCCUUAGGUUCGGAAUAACUCAGAGAAAUUUGAGCUAAUACCGGAUAAUGUCUUCGGACCAAAGAUUUAUCGCCUUUGGAUGGGCCCGCGUAGGAUUAGCUAGUUGGUGGGGUAAAGGCCUACCAAGGCGACGAUCCUUAGCUGGUCUGAGAGGAUGAUCAGCCACACUGGGACUGAGACACGGCCCAGACUCCUACGGGAGGCAGCAGUGGGGAAUAUUGGACAAUGGGCGAAAGCCUGAUCCAGCAAUGCCGCGUGAGUGAUGAAGGCCUUAGGGUUGUAAAGCUCUUUUACCAGGGAUGAUAAUGACAGUACCUGGAGAAUAAGCUCCGGCUAACUCCGUGCCAGCCGCCGCUGUAAUAC
rnacentral:rRNA from 1 species